UGCCUAAAAGACCCGUUAAUGGGUCCGGA
rnacentral:sRNA from 1 species